GACGAACGCUGGCGGCGUGCCUAAUACAUGCAAGUCGAGCGGAACUGGGGGAGCUUGCUCCUUCCAGUUUAGCGGCGGACGGGUGAGUAACACGUGGGCAACCUGCCCUGCAGAUCGGGAUAACUCCGGGAAACCGGUGCUAAUACCGAAUAGUUUGGCGCCUCUCCUGAGGCGCCACGGAAAGACGGUUUCGGCUGUCACUGCAGGAUGGGCCCGCGGCGCAUUAGCUAGUUGGUGGGGUAACGGCCCACCAAGGCGACGAUGCGUUGCCGACUUGAGAGGGUGACCGGCCACACUGGGACUGAGACACGGCCCAGACUCCUACGGGAGGCAGCAGUAGGGAAUCUUCCGCAAUGGACGCAAGUCUGAUGGAGCAACGCCGCGUGAGUGACGAAGGUUUUCGGAUCGUAAAACUCUGUUGUGAGGGAAGAACACGUACCAACUAACUAUUGGUACCUUGACGGUACCUCACCAGAAAGCCACGGCUAACUACGUGCCAGCCGCCGCGGUAA
rnacentral:rRNA from 1 species